CCUGAGCCAAGGUUACAGAGUUAUUGUCUACGUAGGGCUGGAAUGCCUUCAUAGCAGUAUUUCCUAAGCAACUUCUGACAAUAUUACUGAGAGUGCAGAAGCAGAUUUGAUUUGGUAAUCCAUACUUUCCCUAUGUGGAAAUGAAUACAGACUAGGCACUGUGGAUGCCUCUGCCCUGCUAGUCAAGGAACCAGCAGAAACCAGCCCAUAAACCAUUGACAAGGAAUUCUUGGAUUGUCCCUCACACGCUGCUCUGAAGCAGAGGAUGGAACAAGAGGACAAAGGAAACUCUUCAAAUAAUACAGGAGCAGGAUGAAUGUGGCCCUGGAGAGGACCAGCGACCAUCCAGCCAGGCAAUGGAGUCUGGAACUGCUUAUGGCACUGAUGGCAUCAGUCUGGAACUGAUGGCCCAAGGGCCCCUGAACACACAGCCUGCCUGCACUGCCCAGGUUGUGACACGGAGCACAUAGCACAGCCUGCUUCCCCAGGGAGGGAGAUGGAUCUAAGCUGAUGGGAAAAGGCAGCAGAAAGUGGUGAGAAUGAGCAAUUCCUGGGUUUCUUGAGAGCCGUUUGAUUAUGCAUUUAACUAUGUGGCCAUUAAUGUUAUUUUACAAGAGCUCUUAGGAUGCAAAGUAUUCGUGCAUGAACGGGAACAGCUACAAGGAACAGUUGACAGUUCAGUACGUCAGCCAAUACAUUGACUUCUACGGGCCAUAACCUGAGCUACUUCAAAGCCUCCACUAUCUUGACAAGUGCCACAGAGGAAUUCUCUACAAGUGUGUGUAUCAAGU